ACUUAAGUCAAUGGGCUUGACGUUCGAAGCCCAUUGGGCCUUGAGGCCCAAAACUAACCCGUGGUCUUUUACGAACUUAUUCGUUUGAUUAAUUAACAUAUUAAUUAAUCCUUGCCAUAAAUAAUUAAGCCAUUUAAUUAUUCUUACUCAUCUCCGUUGUUUCUUCAAUCUGUACCUUACACGGUGUACGAUCCAUUAGGUUCCUUUUAGCGAGGCAGUGGGCGAUUAGAACUCUUUCAAACCGAUUGUGAAUUGAAACUUACUUUCAAUUCUCCCUUUAGUGAUUAUACACGUUUAGGGCUUCCACAAACCAUGAGUGACACCUAGCAGCAUAUCAUGGUUACCCAAGCUAAUCAGAAGAGGUGGAGAACCUAUUCAGUUUAGGAUUACAAAUGCAAUACGGUUUUUCUCUAAUACAAUACUCUUGACCACAUUGUUUGGUUUGAUAGUUUAUUCAUGUCUACUAUCCAAUGUGAUUCGUUUACUUAUAUGAUUACCUUGAAUGUGAUUUGGAACGCCUUCCUAAAUCUCAUUCACACUCUGAUCAGAGAUUUUCAAUCAUAUCAUAGAGUAUUCUUCCCCAAACGGUUUGAAGGUUAGAGAUCCCUUGUUGCGCAUUCAAUUGCCUCCAUGGUUAAGUGGCUUAACCCCAACGAUGCCGUGGACACCCACGGAUGCGGUGACUUUGACAUAAUCAAAGAUCAAGGACUUAACCACAAGACAACUGUGAUGCCUCAAGUCAAAGGACUACUUUGCAUUAUCCCAACCAUGAGUUCUCAUGUGACAUGAAUAUGAGAA
rnacentral:lncRNA from 1 species